UAGUAACGCUCGUUCGAUGCAUUUCCGAAGGGUAAGCACCGCGACCGAUGUCGAAGGCUAGCGAAGCCGUCGGAUUGAGGUCGAGCUCGUUUCUCGAGUCUCGUUACCAGUCCUUCGGUACGAAUAGAAUUCGCUAGACCCUAGCAUCGAGAAUAACAUAGCGAAUGUCGGUGAACUAUAUGCUCACCCGUUACGAUGGAUGUGCGGCCGUUCGAUCGUCGCCUGCUCGCAGGUUACGGUUAGUAAUCAGGUUCGUAUCUGAAAUCGUCGGUGACAUUUCGACAUUCAGGCGUCCGCGGUGUCCGAGUCGGUCACCCGUCCGACCCGUCUUGAAACACGGACCAAGGAGUCUAACGUAAGCGCGAGCUAAUGGGUGGAAAACCUAUAAGCGAAAUAAAAGUAAAAGCCGUUUCGGACGGCCGAGGUACGAUCCCGAAGAAGAGAGUAUCUUCGGGCGCAGUACCGUCCCGUCCCGACCGCUUGUCGGUAGGGCGGAGAUAGAGUGCAUACGUUGGGACCCGAAAGAUGGUGAACUAUGCCUGAGCAGAGCGAAGCCAGAGGAAACUCUGGUGGAGGUUCGUAGCGGUUCUGACGUGCAAAUCGAUCGUCAGACUUGGGUAUA
rnacentral:rRNA from 1 species